rnacentral:tRNA from 1 species
GUAGCUCAGUGGUAGAGUGCUUGCCUUGCAAGCAUGAGGCCCUGGGUUCGAUUCCUUAGC